GCCUUAUCAAGAGCGACUGAGGGAACGGCCCUAUGAAGUCCGGCAACCUGCAUCUGCAAGGUGCCAAAUCCGGCGAAGUGAUCGAAAGAUGAGGA
rfam:Firmicutes bacterium CAG:170 genomic scaffold, scf336